rnacentral:rRNA from 1 species
CCGGGCGAGUAACACGUGACUAACCUACCUCCGAGUGGGGAAUAACUCCGGGAAACCGGGGCUAAUACCGCAUAACAUCGCAAGAUCAAAGCAGCAAUGCGCUUGGAGAGGGGGUCGCGGCUGAUUAGCUAGUUGGUAGGGUAAAAGCCUACCAAGGCUACGAUCGGUAGCCGGCCUGAGAGGGCACACGGCCACACUGGCACUGAAACACGGGCCAGACUCCUACGGGAGGCAGCAGUGGGGAAUCUUGCACAAUGGGGGCAACCCUGAUGCAGCGACGCCGCGUGAGCGAUGAAGCCCUUCGGGGUGUAAAGCUCUUUCGGCAGGGACGAUAAUGACGGUACCUGCAGAAGCAGCUGCGGCUAACUACGUGCCAGCAGCCGCGG